CCUACGGGAGGCAGCAGUGGGGAAUAUUGCACAAUGGGGGAAACCCUGAUGCAGCGACGCCGCGUGAGUGAAGAAGUAAUUCGUUAUGUAAAGCUCUAUCAGCAGGGAAGAAAAUGAUGGUACCUGAGUAAGAAGCCCCGGCUAACUACGUGCCAGCAGCCGCGGUAAUACGUAGGGGGCAAGCGUUAUCCGGAUUUACUGGGUGUAAAGGGGGCGUAGGCGGACUGGAAAGUCAGCGGUAAAAUCGAGGGGCUCAACCUCUUUCCGCCGUUGAAACUGUCGGUCUUGAGUGGGCGAGAGGCAGGCGGAAUGCGUGGUGUAGCGGUGAAAUGCAUAGAUAUCACGCAGAACUCCGAUUGCGAAGGCAGCAUACCGGGGCCCGACUGACGCUGAGGCACGAAAGCGUGGGUAUCGAACAGGAUUAGAUACCCUGGUAGUC
rnacentral:rRNA from 1 species